GAUGAACGCUGGCGGCGUGCCUAAUACAUGCAAGUCGAGCGAACAGACGAGGAGCUUGCUCCUCUGACGUUAGCGGCGGACGGGUGAGUAACACGUGGAUAACCUACCUAUAAGACUGGGAUAACUUCGGGAAACCGGAGAUAAUACCGGAUCAUAUAUUGAACCGCAUGGUUCAAUAGUGAAAGACGGUUUUGCUGUCACUUAUAGAUGGAUCCGCGCCGCAUUAGCUAGUUGGUAAGGUAACGGCUUACCAAGGCAACGAUGCGUAGCCGACCUGAGAGGGUGAUCGGCCACACUGGAACUGAGACACGGUCCAGACUCCUACGGGAGGCAGCAGUAGGGAAUCUUCGGCAAUGGGCGAAAGCUUGACGGAGCAACACCGCGUGAGUGAUGAAGGUCUUCGGAUCGUAAAGCCCUGUUAUUAGGGAAGAAAAAAUGUGUAAGUAACUAUGCACGUCUUGACGGUACCUAAUCAGAAAGCCCCGGCUAACUACGUG
rnacentral:rRNA from 1 species